rnacentral:tRNA from 1 species
GGGCCGGUAGCUCAGCUAGGUAGAGCGAUGGCGUGGUGACCCAUAGGUCCCGGGUUCAAAUCCCGGCCGGCCCGCCA